GAUGAACGCUGGCGGCGUGCCUAAUACAUGCAAGUCGAGCGAACGGACGAGAAGCUUGCUUCUCUGAUGUUAGCGGCGGACGGGUGAGUAACACGUGGAUAACCUACCUAUAAGACUGGGAUAACUUCGGGAAACCGGAGCUAAUACCGGAUAAUAUUUUGAACCGCAUGGUUCAAAAGUGAAAGACGGUCUUGCUGUCACUUAUAGAUGGAUCCGCGCUGCAUUAGCUAGUUGGUAAGGUAACGGCUUACCAAGGCAACGAUGCAUAGCCGACCUGAGAGGGUGAUCGGCCACACUGGGACUGAGACACGGCCCAGACUCCUACGGGAGGCAGCAGUAGGGAAUCUUCCGCAAUGGGCGAAAGCCUGACGGAGCAACGCCGCGUGAGUGAUGAGGGUCUUCGGAUCGUAAAACUCUGUUAUUAGGGAAGAACAUAUGUGUAAGUAACUGUGCACAUCUUGACGGUACCUAAUCAGAAAGCCACGGCUAACUACGUG
rnacentral:rRNA from 1 species